rnacentral:rRNA from 1 species
GACGAACGCUGGCGGCGUGCUUAACACAUGCAAGUCGAACGGAAAGGCCCCUUUGGGGGUACUCGAGUGGCGAACGGGUGAGUACACGUGAGUAACCUGCCCUUGACUUCGGGAUAACUUCAGGAAACUGGGGCUAAUACCGGAUAGGAAUCCUUGCUGCAUGGUGGGGGUUGGAAAGCUUCGGCGGUUUUGGAUGGACUCGCGGCUUAUCAGCUUGUUGGUGGGGUAGUGGCUUACCAAGGCUUUGACGGGUAGCCGGCCUGAGAGGGCGACCGGCCACAUUGGGACUGAGAUACGGCCCAGACUCCUACGGGAGGCAGCAGUGGGGAAUAUUGCACAAUGGGCGGAAGCCUGAUGCAGCAACGCCGCGUGCGGGAUGACGGCCUUCGGGUUGUAAACCGCUUUCAGCAGGGGCGAAGCUUGUGGUGACGGUACCUGCAGAAGAAGCACCGGCUAACUACGUG